rnacentral:lncRNA from 1 species
GAAAUAUUUUAGAAUUUAAAUUAUAUCCCAUAUUGAUUAUUUAUUUAUUUUAUAACGAAUAAUGAUUAAUUGGGCAUGUACAAUUAUUGUGUAUGUUGUACUGUUCAUAGUACAAUAUCUGAUUUUGGCUUGACCAUACCAGAUAUGCUGGUUGAUUUUACUCGGACCGACCUAUCUAAUUUUUGUCUCUUUUUAUCUAAUGUAAAUAUUAGUUUUCUUGGAAGAUAGCAAGAAGUUGCUGGUCUAGGCAAAAUCGAAAUUGAUUGUCAUAGUGACACAUAUUUUCAUUGCCAACUUCCUUGGGCCACAAAUUUUGUUAUUUAUUUUUUAUAAAAGGUUUUAUGGUACUUAUAAAAAAAGUAAAGUUAUUUUGUUAUAUAUUUCGAUUGGCAAUACACUUUGUGCGUGAUUGCUUAAAUACGGGUUUGACCUCUGCGGUCGUUCCUUUUCCCAGACCGCCGUCAUGAAGUGAAGAGUGCUUUAGUUCUUUUUAAAAUUCGUGUGAAUUUUACCCAUAUGGGGAUAUAAUUGACUAAAUGUGGUGAUAGUAAAUCAACUUUUUGGGCGUAAUGCUAUAAUUUGUUGUUUUGUUGAAUUUACUGGCCUUUAUGGCGAUUUAAAACCUAAUAAUUUUUCACGUGCCCUCGAACAUCGGCAAAAUAGCGGUUCUGAUUGGCAUUGGCAGGGGACAAUUUAAUUAGCAAAGCUACAUAACAUGGAUUUUGGACGGAUUUUUUUUGUACGGACCUGAUUUCUUCAUGCCACAUGGUGCUUUCGUUUUGGGGUUAUGUACUCUACUGGCUCUAAUCUAGAAGGAGAUUUUAAGCAACUGUGAGCUAAUGUCUAACCUAGACCACUACCAGAGCUUGGCGUAUUGUGAAGUGGAAGAGGUGAAGCUUGGAAGCCUGCAGUUUUUCUUUGACUGGGAAUUGGAUUUCUGGGAGAAUCUCGAAUCUGAAGUAGUCUGCUGUGUGUGGAGCUAGGUGACACAACAUAACAUUUUUUUUAUUCACUUAUUUUAUUUUUAUUAUCACAACUUUUAUCUUUUGAGUUGAGAUACAUACAUAAGCUUAUUUAAAAUUUUAUUGACAUUAUUUAAUCGAUGCUAUUUUAUUAUUGAAUAUUACUGAUAAGAGUACAUAUAUAUGUGACAAGUGACUCCUGUGAGGUAAGACGCAGCCGGCUUCGUAGUACUACGAGUAUAUACUUGGGUUAUAUUAUUUAUUUUCAGAUUACUCCUAAGAUGUCAAAUUUUCUCAGAUUAGCUAGUAAAUAUUAGAGUAAACUAAUAUAAAGGGUAAUUUUAAGUGGGGAAGCUUCAACAGUUAGGGUUGUUAUUUUUUUUUGCUUAGGUCAAUGUCCGUGGCGGGAUAUACCGGGCCAUGUAAGUUAUUAGUUUAAUUGAAUUGAAGCUUCAUUUCCCAAAAAGGUUUGG